AAACAAACCCAGGGCUAUAAUGCCAGCUAUUUAUCUGGCAACAUCUAGAUCAUGAAACGAAAGCAUCCAUUAGGACAAAUGCUCAGUCAUCCACCAAAACCAGAAAGAUACAAAGCUGCCCCAAGGAAUCUUUCUUCUAGAACUGUCCAGCCUGAAACACCCUGGGAACUCGGGACUCAGGAAAGUGGUGCUUUUCCAUGUGACCUGACUGAGAGGUGCUCUGUUCGGUAAUUAGAGGUGCUGUGCUCGGGAAUGAGGGGUGCUCUGUUCGGUAAUUAGAGGUGCUCUGCUCGGGAAUGAGAGGUGCUGUGCUCAGUAAAGGCAGCCGAGCUGUCACAGGUGUCGUUUCACACCCAAAGCCUGUGAACAGCCCCGAUACCGUGAGAAUAGCCCUUGAUUACACCCACCCAGGGAGAUGAUGUAAAUUCACCCUAAAUUACCCGCGGUGUAGGAGGAAGGGACUGGAUAACUCCGCACACAACCGGGUAAAUGGUAAUUCCCCCGAGAGCAGAUGCUGCAGUGCCACAAGUGCUCCAGAGAGACGAGCCGCGAUCCUGAUGGAAAAGGUAAUUCGGGAUGCGGCUCGUGUGGGAACGUUGUCCUGGAAAUAAGUUCAGAGCAGCUCCCGGUGCCAGGAGGAGCUGCUGCCUCUGCCAUGGAUGUUGUGUGACCCCGAAUAAAUUACCCGGGCUCCCGCCUUAUCAGCCUGUGCCAUGAGGAUGACACGCGUCUCCAAGGUGUUUAAAGAAUUAACUCCUUGACGGUCUGUGAAGUGGUUCGUGAGCCCUCUCCAGGCGGUGCCGGAGAAGGGCAGACUGCAGGCGUUGUGGCUUUCGGGAGAUUUUCGCUGUGAUAAGGAAAGCUCCCGCAGGAACGCGCUGCCAGGAAACUUAAUGCAGCUGUUAAUCCCAAAAGGCUCUGAUUUGCAGAACGAAGUCCAGGAUGCGCAAAGAGCUGGGCUGCGAAUAAAAGUGACCUUUUACACACAUUCUCGAGCUGUCACUACUGGAAAACUGUGGAGAAUCUCAUAGAUUUCAAGUAUAAAAGGAGCAUUCAUGCCCCCAGAUGGCCAGUGGGCCACUCCACCGAUUUGCCAGGCUCACAAAUGAGGCAAAAGGUGUUCUAAAAUAAAGCAAAAACCAGGCUAAGUGGCAAGCAAGACCCAGAGUCUGGAGUGUAGAGGUCUUUCCACUGUAAGCCCAGGAUGCCUUCAUGGAGGAAUCAGGUGGAACAGCCAGGAAAAGGUGAGAGGCCUCCCUCUGCAGAAGCAAUAAAUCUAAUGAAGAUCCAAAGUGCCACUCUGAAUACACAUCUAUCUUCACCCUCCCUCCUUCCUGCCUGGAUCAGUUCCUUGGGGGAGAUUUCAGUUCUCGUUCACCUCUGUUGUGAUUCCCUUGAAGUCUCAGCUGUUCCAGGGAAAGUAAAUAGGGUUUAAAAUUAAUUAUCAAUUAAAAUGAGGUUAAUCAGC